UACAGAGGUCUCAAGCGUUGUUCGGAUUCAUUGGGCGUAAAGGGUGCGUAGGCGGCUCGGUAAGUCGGGUGUGAAAUCUCGGAGCUUAACUCCGGAACUGCAUUCGAUACUGCCGUGCUUGAGGACUGGAGAGGAGACUGGAAUUUACGGUGUAGCGGUGAAAUGCGUAGAUAUCGUAAGGAAGACCAGUGGCGAAGGCGGGUCUCUGGACAGUUCCUGACGCUGAGGCACGAAGGUCAGGGGAGCAAACAGG
rnacentral:rRNA from 1 species